CCCUUAGAUGUUCUGGGCCGCACGCGUGCUACACUGAGUGGAUCAGCGGGUCAGGUUGCGCGAAAGUGUUUCCUAAUCUUUAAAUCCGCUCGUGAUGGGGAUUGACGGUUGCAAUUUUCCGUCAUGAACGAGGAAUACCUUGUAAGCGUGGGUCAUCAUCCCGCGCUGAAUACGUCCCUGCCCUUUGUACACACCGCCCGUCGCUCCUACCGAUUGAGUGGUCCGGUGAGGCUUUGGGAUCUGGGCGGAAAGAGCGUUUCGCUGUUUCUGCCCGGAAAACUCAGUCGAACCUUAUCAUUUAGAGGAAGGAGAAGUCGUAACA
rnacentral:rRNA from 1 species